rnacentral:rRNA from 1 species
UACGUAGGGGGCAAGCGUUGUCCGGAUUUAUUGGGCGUAAAGAGCGUGUAGGCGGCUUCACAGGUCCGCUGUGAAAACUCGAGGCUCAACCUCGAGCUGUCGGUGGAAACCGUGUGGCUAGAGUCCGGAAGAGGAGAGUGGAAUUCCCGGUGUAGCGGUGAAAUGCGCAGAUAUCGGGAAGAACACCCGUGGCGAAGGCGGCUCUCUGGGACGGUACUGACGCUGAGCCGCGAAAGCGUGGGGAGCGAACAGG